AAGUGUUCAUAUUCCAUGGAACUUUGUAUAAGAUCUGAUUUUGACACAUCCCUUCAUUUACUUGAAACAUUAGAAGAAUUAUUGCCUUGGCUUAACAUUUGUGGCAAAAACAUGAUUGGUCAAUAGAUUAUGUGUUUUUUUUCUUCUGUUUUUUCUAUUGCCUUUUCAUAUCCAUAGUUUUUUCUGACCUUACUAGAUAGCAAAGAGCUUGAACUGAAGGGGUGUUUUGACUCUAUGCAUCAAAGAAGCAACAGCAAAUAAAAAAACUAAAGCAGGUAAUUCUUUAAUGAAUACAUUAAGUAACGAUUUUUCACAAAGCAAGUUGUAGAAUGAUUUCAAAAUAACUUGAGUUUUUUCUCAAUUUUUCACAUUCAUGGCUGUUCACUGCCUACAUACGAAAAUCCCUCACAUUUUUUUCAUUGUUCAUCAGGGAUAGAACGAAAUGCUUCACUUAAGCAAAUGAUGUCUUAAAGUUGCAUCAAGGAUUUCUUUCGAAAUUGUGGUUGUUUUCUCAACCUCGAUGAAAUUCUCUAUCCUAUAUCUAAAAGGUGUUAUCAGGUAAAUCGACAAGCUUCUGUAUUCCAAUUCUAAAGGGUUUAAAAGGUAUCCAAAUUGAUAAUUUUUUAUGUCUAAAAAGGCUUCUACAUUAUCAAGUAAGACUCAAGAAGAAUCAUGUGUUUGUUUGGAAGGACAAGAAGUGAUUAAAAUUGGGUUAAUGGGACAACAUCCUUGGUUAUCUUUAAUCAAGAGAAUUUUGAAUCCUUGUUUUUGUCUGCAUUUAUUUUCUUCUACGUUCCAAUAGCUCAUCAUCCUUAGAUUCUGAAAUUCGUAUAUUGAGGAAUAAGUUUAUAUUGUUGUGUCUUAAUACUUGAACCUAUGUUGGAUAUCAUCUACUCGGACCAUAUAUGCUCAGUACCUGUACAUUUUCUCUAUCUGGACAAUGUUAAAAAAUGAAAGACGAGAUUGUUGCAAUCGUUAAGUAAAUCAAUAUUGGCUUCUUUAACUUAUUUGACUUUUGUUUACAGGUAUAAACUUUCACACAGCAAGAGCUCAUGUUCAUAUUUCGUGUAUUGCACUAAUUUUUCAUCACCUUCUUCCCCUGCCACCUCCUCCUUCCAUAGCAUGUCUAUUAAAUUAGACCAUACAUUAUUCUUUAUGGACAAUGAAAACCUAUGAUUAUUUUGGUUUGCAUUGUGCAUACUCCUUUGUUAGCAUGUCAUUUAAUUCAUUAUUGAUGAUAGUUUUGUGCUGGUCAUUAAUUCUGUAGAGCUGUGAAUUGAGAUAAUUCUCAUGUGUGCUCUAUAUACUCUUCCAGUUAUUUAGAUUUUAUUUUUAGACAAACUCUUUAUAAUCGUUGUUUUCCACUUUCUCCUGGUUCAUGUAGCAUAUACUUUGUUGUGAUCUUGAGUUUACAUGAGAAAAAGGAAAAUUGGUUCUAGUGCUGAUGCAUGCCUAAGCUUUACCAAGUAUGUUGUUUUGAUAUACUGCUCCCUCAUUCUUUCUGUAAUAUAGACAAUUUUAAAAUAGUUUCUCUCCAUUCAAAGUCAACACGCAAUAUAUUUUGCUUUUCUUAUCUUAAAUUUGUCAUGAUUUCUCAGCUUUCGUCAAGCUGGUGCUUCUGUCAUUCAAAUUUUUGUUGGUCCCCUGAGGGUAAAUUCUUUGUUCUUCUCUCUGUUUGUUAGUGAUCAUUAAGUGUUUUGUUGUGUUCUCCCAUAUUUAUUAUUUAUAUUUGCUGAAAGAGUCUUGGAAUACAUGCUGAAAGGGUGAAUAUGAUUGUUUAUCCAAUGGACAGAGGUUUACUCUUACUGUCUAAUUUUGAUUUUUUUAAAAAAAUAGAAAUUCUUACGUAUGUUGUGUGUUUACUGAUUAUAUAGAGAUUUCAAUUGUUGUGUAGUGACAAUAAUAUUGUUAUACUAUGUUUUUCUUAGGUCAUGUGGACAUGAUCGUUUUUUCUGAAUUUCAUGGUAUAGAAAAAGUUGUAUCACUACAGAUUAUUUUUACACUAUUGAUAGAUUAAUAUUUUUUGAAUUAAAAAUAUUUACCUAAUCUUUUAAAAUUGAAAAAAGUGACAUGAUUUUAUUAAAACUGAUCUAUUAAUAUUUUUUAACGAACCCUAUCCAACCCAAACAAAAAUAAAAACCCAAAUUCCCUUCCCAUUAGAAGAAUUGGGUACAAGAAAUGUUUCUUGUAUUGUGUACUAAGAUGUUUUGGCACUUUUGGCCUGAAAUAUAGAGGUGGAAAUUUCUCCAUCAAAUACUACCAAGUACGCAGAGAGUCUAUUGAUGAAAGGGACUGGGAAGGUAUUGUUAACAAUGACUAGUAUUGAGAAUGAUUUGUUUCUCUAACUUAUAAUUUUAUUUUGAAUGUGCAGGAAAAUGUGGGUGAUUGAAUUUGAAUAGUGGCCAGAAGUAAACUCGAUUGUAGUGAACAAUAAAGAUUUUUUGUACUAUUGCCAUAUAUGUUUGGAUGCAUUUGUCUCUAGUAGAGAUCCUUAAGCAAUUGCUUUCUAAGUAUGGGUUGUACAAGACAUGUUUUUCGAAGUUUAUUUGAAAUAUAUAUCUUAGAAUGAUUUAUUUUAUAA
rnacentral:lncRNA from 1 species